rnacentral:rRNA from 1 species
GGGUGAAUAACGCGUGGGAAUAUGCCUUUUGGUACGGAACAACUUUUGGAAACGAAAGCUAAUACCGUAUGGUCCCUUCGGGGUAAAGAUUUAUCGCCAAAAGAUUAGCCCGCGUUGGAUUAGCUAGUUGGUGAGGUAAUGGCUCACCAAGGCGACGAUCCAUAGCUGGUCUGAGAGGACGAUCAGCCACACUGGGACUGAGACACGGCCCAGACUCCUACGGGAGGCAGCAGUUAGGAAUAUUGGACAAUGGACGCAAGUCUGAUCCAGCCAUGCCGCGUGAGCGAUGAAGGCCUUCGGGUUGUAAAGCUCUUUAGCCGACGAAUAUAAUGACUGUAGUCGGAAAAUAAGCCCCGGCUAACUUCGUGCCAGCAGCCGCGGUAAUACGAAGGGGGCGAGCGUUGUUCGGAAUCACUGGGCGUAAAGCGUGCGUAGGCUGUCUUGCAAGUUGGGAGUGAAAGCCCAGGGCUCAACCCUGGAAUUGCUCUCAAAACUGCAAGACUUGAAUCUCGGAGAGGAUAGCGGAAUUCCAAGUGUAGUAGUGAAAUACGUAGAUAUUUGGAGGAACACCAGUGGCGUAAGCGGCUAUCUGGACGAGUAUUGACGCUGAGGCACGAAAGCGUGGGGAUCAAACAGGAUUAGAUACCCUGGUAGUCCACGCCGUAAACGAUGUGAGUUUGUCGCUGGGGGGUUACCCUUCGGUGACGCAGCUAACGCGU